UACGUAGGUGGCGAGCGUUAUCCGGAAUUAUUGGGCGUAAAGCGCGCGCAGGCGGUUUCUUAAGUUGGGUGUGAAAGCCCUCGGCUCAACCGAGGAGGGUCAUCCAAAACUGGGGAACUUGAGUGCAGAAGAGGAGAGUGGAAUUCCAUGUGUAGCGGUGAAAUGCGUAGAGAUAUGGAGGAACACCAGUGGCGAAGGCGACUCUCUGGUCUGUAACUGACGCUGAGGCGCGAAAGCGUGGGGAGCAAACAGG
rnacentral:rRNA from 1 species